GUGCCAGCAGCCGCGGUAACACCGGCAGCCCAAGUGGUGGCCGCUUUUAUUGGGCCUAAAGCGUCCGUAGCCGGCCAGGUAAGUCCCUGUGUAAAUCUUCAGGCUUAACUUGAAGGAUUGCGGGGAUACUGCUUGGCUUGGGGCCGGAAGACGUGGAGGGUACUCCGGGGGUAGCGGUGAAAUGCUGUAAUCCUCGGGGGACCACCAGUGGCGAAGGCUCUCCACGAGGACGGGCCCGACGGUGAGGGACGAAAGCCAGGGGCGCGAACGGGAUUAGAUGCCCCGGUAGUCCUGGCCGUAAACGCUGCAGGCUUGGUGUUGCACGCUCUACGGGGGCGUGCAGUGCCGAAGCGAAGGCGAUAAGCCUGCCGCCUGGGAAGUACGCUCGCAAGAGUGAAACUCAAAGGAAUUGACGG
rnacentral:rRNA from 1 species